rnacentral:rRNA from 1 species
UACGUAGGGUGCAAGCGUUAAUCGGAAUUACUGGGCGUAAAGCGUGCGCAGGCGGUUUUGUAAGUCUGUCGUGAAAUCCCCGGGCUCAACCUGGGAAUUGCGAUGGAGACUGCAAGGCUAGAAUCUGGCAGAGGGGGGUAGAAUUCCACGUGUAGCAGUGAAAUGCGUAGAGAUGUGGAGGAACACCGAUGGCGAAGGCAGCCCCCUGGGUCAAGAUUGACGCUCAUGCACGAAAGCGUGGGGACAAACAGG